rnacentral:rRNA from 1 species
UACGGAGGGUGCAAGCGUUGUUCGGAAUCACUGGGCGUAAAGGGCGUGUAGGCGGUCCGCUAAGUCUGAUGUGAAAGCCCGGGGCUCACCCCCCGGAAGGGCAUUGGAAACUGGCGGACUCGAGUCUCGGAGAGGAAGGUGGAAUUCCUGGUGUAGCGGUGAAAUGCGUAGAUAUCUGGAGGAACACCGGUGGCGAAGGCGGCAUUCUGGACUGUAACUGACACUGAGGAACGAAAGCCAGGGGAGCAAACGGG